rnacentral:tRNA from 1 species
UGUUGUGUAGCUUAGUUGGUCAAAGUACCGGACUAGAGAUACAGAGUCGUGGGUACGAAUACCACCAAAAUAA